UAUAUAAAGAAGAACUAUGACUAUGGCAUAAUCAUAUUCCUCUUGACCUUCAACUUGAUUACGGUGUCAAGCUAUAGGAUUGACAAUGUAUUGAAGAUUUCACAUGACAGAAUCUACACCAUUGCUAUAGGCUUUGGCAUUUGCCUCCUCAUGAGUUUGCUCAUAUUCCCAAUUGGUCAGGGGAAGAUCUCCAUAAUUCAACAGUUUAUAAGCUUGAAGGCCUAGAAAAUUCACUAGAAGCUUGUGUGAAUGAAUACUUUCAUGGAGAAAUUGAAGCCUCUGGAGAGGACAAAUCGUCUGAGGAUCCAAUAUACAAAGGCUAUAAAGCUGUUUUGGAUUCAAAAUCCUCUGAUGAAAUGUUGGCAAGUCCAUUUAAUCAUUCCUUGGUUCAUUAUUCCAAUGAAGUAUUGAUGAUAGAAGAUCUUCUAGUAAUUUAGAUAGGCAUUACAUGCAAGUUGGGAGCCAAGGCAUUCAUGUCACAGAUUUCCAUGACAGUAGUAUGUUAAAGUUAGAGCUGUUCUUCGCCAAUUCGGAUACACUGUGGUUGCUUUAAUGGCUAUUUGAGAACAGAAAUUCAGGAGGCAAAAAUUGGGCAUGAAAAUAAGCACUCUAGAAGCAAAUAAUCAAGACAAAAGAAGGAUUGGAGUGAGGACAAAGAUUAUCAUGACAAAGUACACCAAAAACUAUGAUUGAGAUUUUAUGUAUUAAGAGCUAUAUGUUAAGACAUUUAUAAUUAAAAAAUUAUGUUAUGUUAGAUACUUUA